rnacentral:tRNA from 1 species
CUGGUCGUCGGCCGCGGCGGCGGCGCGCCGUGCCUGGAGCGCGGCCCGGAGGGCGGUGACGUCCUCGUCGGUGCGGCGCCGGGCGGCCAGCC